rnacentral:rRNA from 1 species
UAGUUGGUGGGGUAAUGGCCUACCAAAGCUUCGAUCAGUAGCUGGUCUGAGAGGACGGCCAGCCACACUGGGACUGAGACACGGCCCAGACUCCUACGGGAGGCAGCAGUGGGGAAUUUUGGACAAUGGGGGCAACCCUGAUCCAGCCAUGCCGCGUGAGUGAAGAAGGCCUUCGGGUUGUAAAGCUCUUUCAGCCGGAACGAAACGGUUACGGUUAAUACCCGUGACUACUGACGGUACCGGAAGAAGAAGCACCGGCUAACUACGUGCCAGCAGCCGCGGUAAUACGUAGGGUGCGAGCGUUAAUCGGAAUUACUGGGCGUAAAGCGUGCGCAGGUGGUUUUGUAAGUCAGAUGUGAAAGCCCCGGGCUCAACCUGGGAACUGCGUUUGAAACUACAAGACUAGAGUGUGGCAGAGGGGGGUGGAAUUCCGCGUGUAGCAGUGAAAUGCGUAGAGAUGUGGAGGAACACCGAUGGCGAAGGCAGCCCCCUGGGUCAACACUGACGCUCAGGCACGAAAGCAUGGGGAGCAAACAGGAUUAGAUACCCUGGUAGUCCAUGCCCUAAACGAUGUCAACUAGUUGUCGGGCCUUUACGGGCUUGGUAACGUAGCUAACGCGUGAAGUUGACCGCCUGGGGAGUACGAUCGCAAGAUUAAAACUCAAAUGAAUUGACGGGGACCCGCACAAGCGGUGGAUUAUGUGGAUUAAUUCGAUGCAACGCGAAAAACCUUACCUACCCUUGACAUGUAUCGAAGCCCGCAGAAAAGCGGGGGUGCCCGAAAGGGAACGAUAACACAGGUGCUGCAUGGCUGUCGUCAGCUCGUGUCGUGAGAUGUUGGGUUAAGUCCCGCAACGAGCGCAACCCUUGUCAUUAAUUGCCAUCAUUUAGUUGGGCACUUUAAUGAGACUGCCGG